CCUACGGGUGGCAGCAGUGGGGAAUAUUGCACAAUGGGCGCAAGCCUGAUGCAGCCAUGCCGCGUGUGUGAAGAAGGCCUUCGGGUUGUAAAGCACUUUCAGCGGGGAGGAAGGCGUUAAGGUUAAUAACCUUGGCGAUUGACGUUACCCGCAGAAGAAGCACCGGCUAACUCCGUGCCAGCAGCCGCGGUAAUACGGAGGGUGCAAGCGUUAAUCGGAAUUACUGGGCGUAAAGCGCACGCAGGCGGUCUGUCAAGUCGGAUGUGAAAUCCCCGGGCUCAACCUGGGAACUGCAUUCGAAACUGGCAGGCUAGGGUCUUGUAGAGGGGGGUAGAAUUCCAGGUGUAGCGGUGAAAUGCGGAGAGAUCUGGAGGAAUACCGGUGGCGAAGGCGGCCCCCUGGACAAAGACUGACGCUCAGGUGCGAAAGCGUGGGGAGCAAACAGGAUUAGAUACCCCAGUAGUC
rnacentral:rRNA from 1 species